GUCCUGGUGGCAUAAAUGGUUUAGCACUUGGGUGCUAACCAAAAGGCUGGUGGUCUGAACCCACCCUGUGGCA
rnacentral:tRNA from 1 species